CUAAAGCGGAGAGUGGAUAUGCAUGAAAGUCAGAUUAUAUUGAUACUCAGCAAAAACAAGGUAACUUAUCAUUACUAAUCAAUCCUUUUCUUUUAGUGAAAGGCAAAUUGCUGUUGUGCUGGAGCUGAGAAGAGGUCUGCUGCCUGCAAUGGGUCCAUCUCUCUCAAGUUAUUGCAGUAUUAUAGCUCUCAAGGUUCAAAAAAAGUAUGGUGGAAGCUGUUGCCAAGGUUCCGGCCAGAAAAGACAGCCAGUAUAAAAGGGUCCACGCCACUGAUCUCUACUACAGGGGAUGAACAGCACAUCGAGCGCCCUCGACUAAAGCCGGCCUUGUCCCGGAAGUUGGUGCUUCACAACUUUGCGGCACCACUUUGUUGCACGGCCUGUGGAGACAAGGUUUCUUAGACGUGGCCAUGGCCCUCAAGGAAGAUGCUGAGGCCACAGGCAGUUCCUCCAGUGACCGUGAAAAGGUCUCCUGGGGCACAAGUCUGGUUUGGCACCCCCACCUUUCUCCUGCAGCUUUUCUGUCUACUUAGCUAACCAGCAGCAAGUUUAUCCUUGCAAGCGUUUGGAGUCAAGAACAACUUUCACAGGAAGAAGUGCAAGACGAGUGAUUGAACGAAAUAAAGUUGC